GACGAACGCUGGCGGCGUGCCUAAUACAUGCAAGUCGAGCGAGCUUGCCUAGAUGAAUUUGGUGCUUGCACCAGAUGAAACUAGAUACAAGCGAGCGGCGGACGGGUGAGUAACACGUGGGUAACCUGCCCAAGAGACUGGGAUAACACCUGGAAACAGAUGCUAAUACCGGAUAACAACACUAGACGCAUGUCUAGAGUUUAAAAGAUGGUUCUGCUAUCACUCUUGGAUGGACCUGCGGUGCAUUAGCUAGUUGGUAAGGUAACGGCUUACCAAGGCAAUGAUGCAUAGCCGAGUUGAGAGACUGAUCGGCCACAUUGGGACUGAGACACGGCCCAAACUCCUACGGGAGGCAGCAGUAGGGAAUCUUCCACAAUGGACGCAAGUCUGAUGGAGCAACGCCGCGUGAGUGAAGAAGGGUUUCGGCUCGUAAAGCUCUGUUGGUAGUGAAGAAAGAUAGAGGUAGUAACUGGCCUUUAUUUGACG
rnacentral:rRNA from 1 species